CAGGCCUAACACAUGCAAGUCGAACGGUGGCAGCAAUGUCAUAGUGGCGCACGGGUGCGUAACACGUAACUAACCUGCCCAGAACUGGGGGAUAGCCCGCCGAAAGGCGGAUUAAUACCGCAUAAUACGAGGUGGCGGCAUCGUCUCUUCGUUAAAUCUUAGGAGGUUCUGGAUGGGGUUGCGGGUCAUUAGCUAGUUGGUUGGGUAACGGCUGACCAAGGCGACGAUGACUAGGGGAGCUGAGAGGCUGGUCCCCCACACGGGCACUGAGAUACGGGCCCGACUCCUACGGGAGGCAGCAGUAGGGAAUAUUGGGCAAUGGGCGAGAGCCUGACCCAGCCAUGCCGCGUGCAGGAAGAAGGCUUUCUGAGUCGUAAACUGCUUUUGACUGGGAAGAAUAACUGGCACGUGUACCAGGAUGACGGUACCAGCAGAAUAAGCACCGGCUAACUCCGUGCCAGCAGCCGCGGUAAU
rnacentral:rRNA from 1 species